UUGUACUUGACAUGACACUUAAACUCAUUCAAAGACACACUGAAUUACAUCACCACAAUCUAAUUUUAGAACAUUUUCAAUGCCCCCCAAAGAAACUCUCUGCAGGCCUGGGCAACAUAACAAUCUCUCUAUGGAUUGGCCUAUUCUGACAUUUCACAUCAGUCAUCUGUUGCUUAAUGACAGACACACAUUUGGAGAAAUGUGUCAUUAGGCAAUUUUCUUCAUGUGUACACAUCAAAGAGUGUCCUUACACAAACCUAAAUGGGACAACCUACUGCAGACCUAGGCUGUAUGACAGAACCUAUUGCUCCUCGGCUACAAACCUGUACAGCAUGCAACUCUACUCAACACUGUAAGAAACUGUAACACAGUGGUGAUUGUCUUAAUGUGGGUUUCCCCAGAAGUGGCCCUGAGGAAGGACUUGAGUGCAAGUAGCUUCCUGAGAAGUGGCGAGUGGAAAAAUGCAGCAGGGAAGUGGAGAAGAGAGAAGCGGAAGGGAAGACAGUUGCUAAAGCUGCAUUAUCACAAAAGCCACCCCUGUGGAAAACUGGAGCUCGGUUCCACUGGGGAACUCAUGGAGCCAGGGAAUGGGCUUUCCUCGUUCCCUUGGAGGAGACUGCGUGGGUUUCUAGACUAUACUAAGGUGAUUCUGAUGAACAGCAGCCUUGGAAACGACUGCCUUAGGGGACUUGCUGCUAUAAAUAAAG
rnacentral:lncRNA from 1 species